GACGAACGCUGGCGGCGUGCUUAACACAUGCAAGUCGAACGGUAAGGCCCUUUCGGGGGUACACGAGUGGCGAACGGGUGAGUAACACGUGGGUGAUCUGCCCUGCACUUUGGGAUAAGCCUGGGAAACUGGGUCUAAUACCGGAUAGGACCACGGUCUGCAUGGAUUGUGGUGGAAAGCUUUUGCGGUGUGGGAUGGGCCCGCGGCCUAUCAGCUUGUUGGUGGGGUGAUGGCCUACCAAGGCGACGACGGGUAGCCGGCCUGAGAGGGUGACCGGCCACACUGGGACUGAGAUACGGCCCAGACUCCUACGGGAGGCAGCAGUGGGGGAAUAUUGCACAAUGGGCGCAAGCCUGAUGCAGCGACGCCGCGU
rnacentral:rRNA from 1 species